ACUCAAAUGAAUUGACGGGGGCCCGCACAAGCGGUGGAGCAUGUGGUUUAAUUCGACGCAACGCGAAGAACCUUACCUGGGCUCGAAAUGCAGGGGAAGUCGGCUGAAAGGUCGGUGUCCGCAAGGACCGCUGCAUAGGUGCUGCAUGGCUGUCGUCAGCUCGUGUCGUGAGAUGUUGGGUUAAGUCCCGCAACGAGCGCAACCCUUAUCUCUAGUUGCCAGGCCGCAAGGCGGUACUCUAGAGAAACUGUCGGCCGCAAGCCGAAGGAAGGUGGGGAUGACGUCAAGUCCUCAUGGCCUUUAUGUCCAGGGCUACACACGUGCUACAAUGGGCGGUACAAAGCGUCGCGAACCCGCAAGGGGGAGCCAAUCGCAAAAAACCGCUCUCAGUUCGGAUUGCAGUCUGCAACUCGGCUGCAUGAAGCUGGAAUCGCUAGUAAUCGCGGAUCAGCACGCCGCGGUGAAUACGUUCCCGGGCCUUGCACACACCGCCCGU
rnacentral:rRNA from 1 species